UACGUAGGGGGCAAGCGUUGUCCGGAAUCAUUGGGCGUAAAGAGCGUGUAGGCGGCCCGAUAAGUCCGCUGUGAAAGUCCAGGGCUCAACCCUGGAAUGCCGGUGGAUACUGUCGGGCUCGAAUCCGGAAGAGGUGAGUGGAAUUCCUGGUGUAGCGGUGAAAUGCGCAGAUAUCAGGAGGAACACCAAUGGCGAAGGCAGCUCUCUGGGCCGGUAUUGACGCUGAGACGCGAAAGCGUGGGGAGCAAACAGG
rnacentral:rRNA from 1 species